AUACUCUGGUUUCUCUUCAGAUCGUAUAAAUCUUUUGCCUUUUACUAAAGAUUUCCAUGGAGAGGAAUAUCUUUGUUGUCUUUACAGUUUGAGUAAAGGCAUUACUUUAAAUUCUU
rfam:Pelodiscus sinensis unplaced genomic scaffold scaffold760, whole genome shotgun sequence.